rnacentral:rRNA from 1 species
GUGCCAGCAGCCGCGGUAAUACAGAGGGUGCAAGCGUUAAUCGGAAUUACUGGGCGUAAAGCGCACGUAGGUGGUUUGGUAAGUCGGAUGUGAAAGCCCCGGGCUCAACCUGGGAAUUGCAUUCGAUACUGCCUGGCUAGAGUAUGGUAGAGGGGGGUAGAAUUCCCGGUGUAGCGGUGAAAUGCGUAGAUAUCGGGAGGAAUACCAGUGGCGAAGGCGGCCCCCUGGACCAAUACUGACACUGAGGUGCGAAAGCGUGGGUAGCAAAAAGGAUUAGAUACCCUGGUAGUCCACGCCGAAA